rnacentral:tRNA from 1 species
GGCCUGGGCGGCUCGUGCCCGCUUACGGCUUGGGCGGUUCGUGCCCGCUCAUGGCUUGGGCGGUUCGUGCCCGCUCAUGGCUU